rnacentral:tRNA from 1 species
GAAUUUUUAGUAUAAGAAUACCUUUCGUUUCGACCGAACUUGCCUAGGAUUUAAUCCUAAAAAUUUU